UAAAUACAAAGAUCAAGCUGCCAUAUUUGCACCAUAAACAGUACAAUAAUACCCCGUUUGGUGUGAGUGUUUACUGUAAACUGCAACAUUCACAAGCUAAAAAUGUUUCAGUUAAUUAUUAACUGUGCCUUGUUUUUAUAUUUGAUGUCAAUCACACCAGUUUGUUAUGGAUGGUCUAUUUGUGAGCGACCAGAUAAUACCUUCCCACCUCCGAAUAAUUUUGACCUAUUCAAGUGUGACUCUGAUUGUUGUGGUCCUGAAGGCGAUGAAUAUUGUUGUGAUAAUGGUGAUAGGAGUGAUAAUGGUCAUAAUGGUGGCAAUGGUAAUACUGGUGAUAAUGGUGGCAAUGGUAAUACUGGUUACACAGGUGAUGGUCGCUCUGGUGAAUCAAAUUUUCCUUUGGUAAUUGUUGGUUGUGUUUUCGGUGUGGGCUUAUUGUUUAUACUCGUGUGUUGUCUUUGCCCGAAGAGAUCUAAGGUUGUUCCUGUAAAUCAAAAUAAUUACCCUUUAAGAACCAGUCAAAUAGCACAUAUUUCAGGAAACACCCCAAGUGCUGUCACAGAAUCAGGAAGUACCAAUGAAAUAGCAGAUAUACCAGGAAAUUAUGAUACGUUUAAACAACCAACUGCUCCACCGACAUGUUCAACUGACCCGCCACCAUCUUACGAAAGUGUCAUGGCGUCUUAUCAUUCUUACCAAUCAUCAGGUAAUUAAGACGGUGGUCACUGUUAUAUUCUUUAUUCAAAGAUUGCAACUAUUUGUUAUGUUCUAUGAGUGACAAUCAACAUGGGCUUUCCAGUUCCACUAAAUGUCAGGGACUCUUGAUUAUUUAGAAUAACAACGUUUGAAAAUGCAAAACUGUCAUAAGACAAACUGGUGAUAAAUUAUUUUGAGCAUCUUUUUAUUCCAAAUGAAGGCCUUAUAUUUUAUGUAGAGGUCAUAAUUGUUUCAAAUUUUCAUAUUUUAGUGCUGAUAUAUCAUAUAAUUAUGCAUUGAAUAAACGCAAGAGACAG